rnacentral:rRNA from 1 species
UACGUAGGGUGCGAGCGUUGUCCGGAAUUAUUGGGCGUAAAGAGCUCGUAGGCGGUCUGUCGCGUCGAAUGUGAAAACCCGGGGCUCAACUCCGGGCUUGCAUUCGAUACGGGCAGGCUAGAGUGCGGUAGGGGAGACUGGAAUUCCUGGUGUAGCGGUGAAAUGCGCAGAUAUCAGGAGGAACACCGGUGGCGAAGGCGGGUCUCUGGGCCGUAACUGACGCUGAGGAGCGAAAGCGUGGGGAGCGAACAGG